rnacentral:rRNA from 1 species
UACAGAGGGUGCGAGCGUUAAUCGGAAUUACUGGGCGUAAAGCGCGCGUAGGCGGCUUUGCAAGUCGGGUGUGAAAUCCCCAGGCUUAACCUGGGAACUGCAUUCGAGACUGCAUUGCUAGAGUAUGGGAGAGGGAAGUGGAAUUUCCGGUGUAGCGGUGAAAUGCGUAGAUAUCUGGAGGAAUACCGGUGGCGAAGGCGGAUCUCUGGGCCUGUCCUGACGCUGAGGCGCGAAAGCUAGGGGAGCGAACAGG